GACGAACGCUGGCGGCGUGCCUAAUACAUGCAAGUAGAACGCUGAAGGAGGAGCUUGCUUCUCUGGAUGAGUUGCGAACGGGUGAGUAACGCGUAGGUAACCUGCCUGGUAGCGGGGGAUAACUAUUUGAAACGAUAGUUAAUACCGCAUAAUAUUAGCUGUUGCAUGACAUUUGCUUAAAAGUUGCCAUUGUAUCACUACUAGAUGGUCCUGCGUUGUAUUAUCUAGUUGGUGAGGUAACGGCUCACCAAGGCGACGAUACAUAGCCGACCUGAGAGGGUGAUCGGCCACACUGGGACUGAGACACGGCCCAGACUCCUACGGGAGGCAGCAGUAGGGAAGCUUCGGCAAUGGACGGAAGUCUGACCGAGCAACGCCGCGUGAGUGAAGAAGGUUUUCGGAUCGUAAAGCUCUGUUGUAAGAGAAGAACGAGUGUGAGAGUGGAAAGUUCACACUGUGACGGUAUCUUACCAGAAAGGGACGGCUAACUACGUG
rnacentral:rRNA from 1 species